UACAGAGGUCUCAAGCGUUGUUCGGAAUUACUGGGCGUAAAGCGUGCGUAGACGGUUAUUUAAGUCAGGUGUGAAAGCCCAGGGCUCAACCUUGGAAUUGCAUUUGAGACUGAAUAGCUAGGGUGCGGAAGAGGGAAGCGGAAUUUCCGGUGUAGCGGUGAAAUGCGUAGAUAUCGGAAGGAACACCAGUGGCGAAAGCGGCUUCCUGGUCCAGCACCGACGUUCAGGCACGAAAGCGUGGGGAGCAAACAGG
rnacentral:rRNA from 1 species